CUGCUAGAGCAAAACUUCUCAUCCCUACCCUUCUGCUGAGACGUAGCUGAGUACUGGACCAUUGCAAUGGAAACAGCCUGCCAUUUGUUAGGACUUCAGACCAGUGCACCUUGUGUAGAUGUCUUGUUUCUUCUCUGUCCAGCCCAAACACAGUUGGUAUCUACAUUCCACUUGUCCAGUGCUGCAAGAGUCAGACAGG